rnacentral:lncRNA from 1 species
GCCUUUCAUAAGGAGAGCAAUGAUGGGCCAGCAAGAUAGCUCAGUGGGCAAAGCAUUUUCUGGCAAGCCUGAGUUCAAUUCCCGGGCUACAUGGUGGAAGAAGAGAAACGACCCUUGAAAGCUGCCAACCUCCACAGGCACACAGUGGCUCCUAUGUCUCCUUCUCAUUCACACAAAAUAAAUACACAGACGUGUAAUAAAAAAUCUUAAAGAGAGAAAGGACAGUAACUACUCCCAAAACAUAGCUCCAUGAAUCCAAACACUGAAGCCCUGUGUGUGGACUUCUUAUUUUCCACUACUUCCGGCCCACCCACACAGUUCAACCUCUCUGCUUUGUGGGAGUCCAGGGAGCUGGACCCUGCAAUUCAGUCACCUGAGGCUCCUUGCCACUGGCUCCUGCUGAGUUUGUCAAAUGCAAAGAGAUGACACACAAUAGGGUUGCAUUAGGACAUCCCUUCCUUCCUUCCACACCAGGUUCUUUCCAUGAAAGUGGUUCCCACUGGGCCACUUGGUCCCCAGGAAUAGUCUCUCUCUCCUCUUCUUCCCUGAAAGAGAUGGCAAUGGCUUUGAGCCGCUGCUCAUCCCUGGGUCCCUCAUCUUUCCCUGACUGGUCCUUUGAUCCUGCCCUCACCUUCACUGGAUCUCUAUUUUUGAUCAUCUGAAGUGAAUUCUUCUGUUUGGUCCUGUGUCUUUAAUUUGUGUUUUAUACAAGCUGUAAAUGAAAUUCCAGGGGCGGCUACUCUCUCUGUGUGUGCUUUGAUGUCUUCCUUGGGAGAGAAAUGUAUAAACCCUUGCACGGUGUGGGUACCCACCGGCCAGAGGAGAUGCUGGGUUAUGAGUUGUUCUAUCACACUCUGGGAGGGACAUACAAGUGGCUUCUGUGGCCAGGGCGAUGGCCCCCAGCCCAUCAUUGCUUCUGUUGUUUCUUCUGCUUGAAUUUGUUUUCACUGAAACUGAUUUUCUCACUGUUUUCUCUUUGUAAUGCUACACCUCAGAAUUAUGAAAAUAUACGGAAGUGGUACCCUAAGGUUAGAAUACAUAAGGGGUCCUGGAGACUGUUGGGGGCUACCUCUACAGCCUGGUUCUGUUGGUCUGGUGUGGGACAACGUGCUGUCUGUGAGCCUGCGCCUGCUGGUCUAGAAAUCUCCUUUGAGAACGGCUGCUGUGAACAUCUGGAACAUCCAUCAGAGGCUCACAGCAGGGGGAACCAAGAAGCCAGACCAAGGACAUCACCAUCUUGGAAAAUGGAUGGAGCUGUUACAUCUGGGCAUGUGGUCCAGCUGAGGGUGAGGACAUGAUUCUUAGUGUUGUUCUGGUCAGACUGCCUAAGGAGUGUCUUGUCCAAUUAGCUUUAAAACUGUUACUUUAAAUUGCCACCUUCUGUUGAUCUCAGGACUGCUGUGGGGAAGUGGAGGUUGAAGCUGCAUAUUGUAAACACAGCAGUGGCAGCUGUGACAGCAAGGUAUGGAAAAACCUCAGUGCUAAUGAGCCUUAUAUUUUUCUUGGGCAGGGACCUGGUGUUAGAGACCUCAAGCCAACAACAGAGAGAGAACAUAUCCAGCCCCCACCUCCUGCUGCCUGGGGUUAGGCAGCAGCUUGACUACUGUCCCACUGCAUGGGUCACACACUUCCCUAUCCAGACAAAGAAUGACCCUCGUCAAAUAGCCUAAGUCAUGUAUGUCUUUCUCUCCCCUGCCUCUGUCAUAGGUCACAUAUUAGCCAAGUCUGCUUUGUCACGAUGCAAACCUCCCACCCCUUGAAAACUAUUGAAAAUGGACACCUUGCUUUGUCUAGUGAGGCUGGAACGAUCCCUCAGACCUAUGUUAUACCAAUUACAUAAUAAAUCUCUUGCUUGAAGGACUUGCUCUCUGUGU